ensembl:lncRNA
CCAAACCCCCCCUGACAACACCCCCCUUCUUACUAGGAACAGAAGCAGGAUGAACCAGAAACUCCUAAACGGGCCUUUUUACUGCUUUCUCCCUGUCACCAUAGUAGACUGGCUUCUCUGGUUUCCCUUUGACAUGUGGUUGUAUGGAGUGCUAAUUUCUUGUUUCUUUUUUUUGCUAAGCCUGCGGCUUUUCCUGGUUUUUUCCUUUGAAUAUCUGUGUCUCAGUGGAGUGUGUCUCUGUGUGUGGUUUGUUGUCACUGAGGUGUCGUGUCCCCUGCCCUUUGGUCAUAGCAUCCAAAGUGAGGGGAGAAAGAUGGGCCUGGAGGUAACUGGUGUUCUUAGUGCCUCCAUCAGUUGCAAAUGAUCUCAGCAGCAGACGUCAGGUGUGGUGAUCACGGGCCAUGAAUCCUUCCUCUCCUGGCCUCAAAUGUUGUUUCAGCUUUGCAGUAGACAAAGGCAGCAGCCGGGCUCCAUUCUGCUGUGAAGCUCUUUAUUGGCCCCCAGACGGCUCCGCUCUAUGAGAGAAGCUCUUGGACUGUGUGGUGGAGCUGCUGCAUUCUGCACUCGUGGCUCAGCUCUGCUUUUCCCUUAAUGUGCCUUUAAAAUGACUGCUUGUGGAGCCCCUUUGCUUCAAAAUCAAAUUUAUAUAUAGGCCUUUUAUAUUUUUGGAUACUUUUAUUCAUUCAUUUACAUUUAUCACAUAAUAAUGUGAUGUUUUUUUUUUUUCUUUAUUUCAUGUUAAUAGAAUCUAUUUUAUCCAAUGAAACCAUACCUUAAAAGACGUCACUCUGGUGGCCACUUUUUUUAAUUAAUUAAAAAUAAAGUUGUUAGAAAUAACAGACAUUACUUUCAAUUCUGCCAUAGAGGUCAGCAGUAUGACAAGAUACUAUAGGAGGUAAUGAUAU